AGAUUGAACGCUGGCGGCAUGCCUUACACAUGCAAGUCGAACGGUAGAGUAGCAAUACUCGAGAGUGGCGAACGGGUGAGUAAUAUAUCGGAACGUGCCCAGUCGUGGGGGAUAACGUAGAGAAAUUUACGCUAAUACCGCAUACGAUCUACGGAUGAAAGCGGGGGAUUCGCAAGAACCUCGCGCGAUUGGAGCGGCUGAUAUCAGAUUUAGGUUGUUGGUGAGGUAAAAGCUCACCAAGCCGACGAUCUGUAGCGUGGUUUGAGGGAACGACCAGCCACACUGGGACUGAGACACGGCCCAGACCUCCGUACGGGAGGCGAGCGAGGUGGGGUAAUUUUGGACAAGUGGGACGAAAGCCUAGACUCCGAGCAAGUCGCCGCGUGACGAAGGGAAGGAACGG
rnacentral:rRNA from 1 species